rnacentral:rRNA from 1 species
AUGAAGCCUAGCGAUUGUAAAGUUAGUGGCGGACGGGUGAGUAACGCGUGGGUAACCUGCCUCAUACAGGGGAAUAGCAGCUGGAAACGGCUGAUAAAACCGCAUAAGCGCACAGUGCCGCAUGGCACAGUGUGAAAAACUCCGGUGGUAUGAGAUGGACCCGCGUCUGAUUAGCUGGUUGGCGGGGUAACGGCCCACCAAGGCGACGAUCAGUAGCCGGCCUGAGAGGGUGAUCGGCCACAUUGGGACUGAGACACGGCCCAAACUCC